rnacentral:misc_RNA from 1 species
UUUCCGUAGGUGAACCUGCGGAAGGAUCAUUACUGAGUUAGGGUCUUCCAGGCCCGACCUCCAACCCUUUGCCUACCUUACCUCUUGUUGCUUCGGCCGGCCCGUCCCCCCUGGGAAUAGGGGUCGACCGCCGGAGGGCUCACACCCUCUGGCCCGCGCCCGCCGAUGGCCCUCAACCAAAACUCUUGUUCAAUCGUGAAUUGUCUGAGUAUACAAAACAAAAUAAACCAAAAACUUUCAACAACGGAUCUCUUGGUUCUGGCAUCGAUGAAGAACGCAGC